rnacentral:rRNA from 1 species
AAGCCUGAUCCAGCCAUGCCGCGUGAGUGAAGAAGGCCUUCGGGUUGUAAAGCUCUUUCGCAAGGAAAGAAAACUUAUUCGCUAAUACCGGGUGAGGAUGACGGUACCUUGAUAAGAAGCACCGGCUAACUACGUGCCAGCAGCCGCGGUAAUACGUAGGGUGCGAGCGUUAAUCGGAAUUACUGGGCGUAAAGCGAGCGCAGGCGGUUUUGUAAGUCAGAUGUGAAAGCCCCGGGCUCAACCUGGGAACUGCGUUUGAAACUGCAAGGCUAGAGUAUGGGAGAGGGGGGUAGAAUUCCACGUGUAGCAGUGAAAUGCGUAGAGAUGUGGAGGAAUACCAAUGGCGAAGGCAGCCCCCUGGCCUAAUACUGACGCUCAUGCUCGAAAGCGUGGGGAGCAAACAGGAUUAGAUACCCUGGUAGUCCACGCCCUAAACGAUGUCUACUAGUUGUUGGUGGAGUAAAAUCCAUGAGUAACGCAGCUAACGCGUGAAGUAGACCGCCUGGGGAGUACGGUCGCAAGAUUAAAACUC